CCUACGGGUGGCUGCAGUGAGGAAUAUUGGUCAAUGGGCGGGAGCCUGAACCAGCCAAGUCGCGUGAGGGACGACGGUCCUAUGGAUUGUAAACCUCUUUUGUCGGGGAACAAAGGCGCCCACGGGUGGGCGGAUGAGUGUACCCGAAGAAAAAGCAUCGGCUAACUACGUGCCAGCAGCCGCGGUAAUACGUAGGGGGCAAGCGUUAUCCGGAUUUACUGGGUGUAAAGGGAGCGUAGACGGCAGUGCAAGUCUGGAGUGAAAGGCGGGGGCUCAACCCCCGGACUGCUCUGGAAACUGUACGGCUGGAGUGCAGGAGAGGUAAGUGGAAUUCCGAGUGUAGCGGUGAAAUGCGUAGAUAUUAGGAGGAACACCAGUGGCGAAGGCGGCUUACUGGACUGUAACUGACGUUGAGGCUCGAAAGCGUGGGGAGCAAACAGGAUUAGAUACCCGGGUAGUC
rnacentral:rRNA from 1 species